rnacentral:rRNA from 1 species
GAUGAACGCUGGCGGCGUGCCUAAUACAUGCAAGUCGAGCGAACGGACGAGAAGCUUGCUUUUCUGAUGUUAGCGGCGGACGGGUGAGUAACACGUGGAUAACCUACCUAUAAGACUGGGAUAACUUCGGGAAACCGGAGCUAAUACCGGAUAAUAUUUUGAACCGCAUGGUUCAAAAGUGAAAGAUGGUCUUGCUGUCACUUAUAGAUGGAUCCGCGCUGCAUUAGCUAGUUGGUAAGGUAACGGCUUACCAAGGCAACGAUGCAUAGCCGACCUGAGAGGGUGAUCGGCCACACUGGAACUGAGACACGGUCCAGACUCCUACGGGAGGCAGCAGUAGGGAAUCUUCCGCAAUGGGCGAAAGCCUGACGGAGCAACGCCGCGUGAGUGAUGAAGGUCUUCGGAUCGUAAAACUCUGUUAUUAGGGAAGAACAUAUGUGUAAGUAACUGUGCACAUCUUGACGGUACCUAAUCAGAAAGCCACGGCUAACUACGUG